UACCAGCACCCCGAGUGGUCGGGACGAUUAUUGGGCCUAAAGCAUCCGUAGCCGGUUUUACAAGUCCUCCGUUAAAUCCAGCUGCUUAACAGAUGGGCUGCGGAGGAUACUAUAAGACUAGGAGGCAGGAGAGGCAAGCGGUACUCAGUGGGUAGGGGUAAAAUCCGUUGAUCCACUGAAGACCACCAGUGGCGAAGGCGGCUUGCCAGAAUGCGCUCGACGGUGAGGGAUGAAAGCUGGGGGAGCAAACCGG
rnacentral:rRNA from 1 species